UGUCUUUUUGAACGUGUUACCUCAGCAUCAG
rnacentral:piRNA from 1 species